rnacentral:rRNA from 1 species
UACGAAGGGGGCUAGCGUUGCUCGGAAUUACUGGGCGUAAAGGGCGCGUAGGCGGAUAUCUAAGUUGGGGGUGAAAUCCCGGGGCUCAACCUCGGAAUUGCCUUCAAAACUGGGUAAUCUUGAGUUCGGGAGAGGUGAGUGGAACUCCGAGUGUAGAGGUGAAAUUCGUAGAUAUUCGGAAGAACACCAGUGGCGAAGGCGACUCACUGGCCCGAUACUGACGCUGAGGCGCGAAAGCGUGGGGAGCAAACAGGG